CUGGGCUGGGCUGGGCUGAG
rnacentral:miRNA from 1 species